UGCCACGACUUUUUGUAGCUUCUUGUCGAACUCAGGAAAUGAUAUCGUCGAUCUUUAAUAUUUUAAAUUCGAGCAGAGGAGAUGAUGAACUGGCUCAAUUAAUUACUGAUAUUACUGAGAAACCAUUUCCUAAUUCUCUGUAUUCUGGGUAUACAGUAAUUCCAGAUUUUGAAGCAGCUGAUUCAGAGCAAUCGAUAGAGAUUGUUCAAGCUAAUUUUUCAGCUCAAUCUCGAGAGAUCUGGUUCGUUUUUUCGGGAUGGGAUCACAAUGGACUGGAAUGGGUACUACAAAUUUUAUAUUUAAAUAAUUAAAAAAAUGUUACAUCUC
rnacentral:lncRNA from 1 species